CCGUUGUUUUCCUUUGGCCUUUGGUCUUCACUCUUGUCGUCACACCGCCUUUGCCAUCAAUAUACUCACCGGUGUGCCCCUCCCCCCUCCCCCACUGCCUGUGUCUCUCUGUGUGUUCGAGUGUGGCUCGCACUACCCCGCAGCACAGCGUUGCCUCCCGUUCCGCUUUCUUUUAUACACGCCGGGAUAGACAGGCUGCGUGCGCUGUCUAAGGCGCACCUCUUCUCUUCCAGCACACACACACACACACACACACACACACACACACACACACACACAAACAGACGCACCGGAUCGCACCUUUCACUUUCGCCCCUCCCCCCUCGCCUGCAGUUCAUUAUGCCAGCGAAACCCGCGCAGGAUUUCUUCUCCCUGGACGCGAACGGACAGCGCGAGGCACUCAUCAUUAUUAAGAAGCUGCAGUGCAAGAUUCUGUACAGCGACAAGUACUACGAUGAUGUGUUCGAGUACCGUCACGUGAUUCUCCCGAAGGAUCUUGCCCGCCUCGUCCCCACGAGCCGCCUCAUGAGUGAGAUGGAGUGGCGCCAGCUCGGCGUCCAGCAGUCGCAAGGGUGGGUGCACUACAUGAUUCACAAGCCAGAACCCCACGUGCUGCUCUUUAAGCGCCCUCGCACGUAAGGGGAGGUGUCCACCAGAGAGCGAGAGGGUACAAGACGCACAGUUGCAUGGGCGCGCCGGGAGGGUUGGCCAGGAGGUGAGGGCGCAAGGUGGGUGCGUCGCUCGACGAGAGGAAAGCAUGAAAGAGAAGGGACGAUAUUGCUUGCUUCCACGUAAACUGCGCAGACCUGCCAGUUCCAGCGCACACCAACGCCUUGCUGCCUCUUCCAUCUCCCGCUGCCGAUCCUAUCCUUCCAUCCUUCCUCUCUUCACCUCACUCUUCCCUCCGUCUGUAUCGUGUUGGCUCUCGUCAUGGCAAAUGAAGCCUAUCGUCUCCUCCCAUUAUGGUGCGCUGCAUGUUCUCUCAUUAGCCCCCCUCUCCACCGUCUUGCCUUUUCAUGGUGUUCCCGGACUGACAUGGAUCUGCCCAUGCCACGACAACCACAACUACCCCCCUCUCCAUCUGUCUUUCCGCACUCUUCCUUAUCUCCUUUUUUUUUUCCCGUCUGCCCGUCUCCCCGGCAUUAGAACGCAUAGAAUCGUUUUCUCCCUGUUGGUGUGCCGUGCUGCAUGCGCGCAUCACUCCUGCGUGCCGUCGUCUCCCUGUGCUGUGCUUCUUGCGACGAACGCCUGUCCCGUUUACUUGGCUUUGUGAUUGUGUCUGUGUUUUGCCCGUGCCUCUCUGUUGGUGUGACAGCUGAGGCGUGCGAUGGUGCGACGGCUUUUCUGUGGUUGUGUGCGUGCGUGUGAAGAAGGGUUGCAAGUCCACAGAACGAAGGUGGGCAGCGCUCCCUUGAAACAGACAUCAAGCAGACGCACUUCAGAGAGAAGAAGACGGCGCAAUAAAAGCGGUCACUCGCGGCCCUUCGCGCCGCGUCUCAAGCUCGAGGGAUGAGGACGAAGGGGCUGGGUCUGCAGCUGUUGCGUGCUCUGUGCCGGCGCGGAGGCAUUUCGCCCGUACCCACUUUUCACAUUUUGCACGGAGGUCACGAAUUGCCGCGUGGCUUUCCUGUGGGCCAGCUCCGACUGUGACAGGGCUGGACGGCAGGCGGUUCUGAUGAGUGAUUGUGUGUGUGUGUGUGUGCAUGUGUGCGGAGCCCGCUGUUGACCACGCACUUCAUCCUGAAGCCGUGCUCUUGUGUAAGGGACGAAAAAGGAAAGUUGCGCCUCGCGACACGUGCCCAUGCCCUCUGCAACGAUCCUUCUCUUGCGAUGUGGACAGUGCUCUCCCUUCCUUUUCUCUUUUUUUUUUGGCUGCUCAUCGUCCGCGUCGCGGCGCACGCCCUCCCUUUUCCCGCAUCCUUUCUCACCACAG
rnacentral:misc_RNA from 1 species